rnacentral:rRNA from 1 species
GUCGUAACAAGGUCUCCGUAGGUGAACCUGCGGAGGGAUCA